GAUGAAGAACGUAGCGAAAUGCGAUAAGUAAUGUGAAUUGCAGAAUUCAGUGAAUCAUCGAAUCUUUGAACGCACAUUGCGCCCGCCAGCAUUCUGGCGGGCAUGCCUGUUCGAGCGUCAUUUCAACCCUCGAGCCCCCCCGGGGGCCUCGGUGUUGGGGGACGGCACACCAGCCGCCCCCGAAAUGCAGUGGCGACCCCGCCGCAGCCUCCCCUGCGUAGUAGCACACACCUCGCACCGGAGCGCGGAGGCGGUCACGCCGUAAAACGCCCAACUUUCUUAGAGUUGACCUCGGAUCAGGUAGGAAUACCCGCUGAACUUAAGCAUAUCGAUAAGCGGGGGA
rnacentral:misc_RNA from 1 species